AGGACGAACGCUGGCGGCGUGCUUAACACAUGCAAGUCGAGCGGUAAGGCCUUUCGGGGUACACGAGCGGCGAACGAGUGAGUAACACGUGGGUGAUCUGCCCUGCACUCUGGGAUAAGCCUGGGAAACUGGGUCUAAUACCGGAUAUGACCUGCUCUCGCAGUGGGGGUGGUGGAAAGAUUUUAUCGGUGCAGGAUGGGGCCCGCGGCCUAUCCAGUCUUGGUUGGUGGGGUAAUGGCCUACCGAAGGCGACGACGGGUAGCCGACCUGAGAGGGUGACCGGCACACUGGGACUGAGACACGGCCCAGACUCCGUACGGGAGGCAGCAGGUGGGGAACUAUUGCACAAUGGGAC
rnacentral:rRNA from 1 species